rnacentral:rRNA from 1 species
GGGCGAAUUAGUAUGUGGUUGUAGACCCGAAACCAGGUGAUCUACCCAUGUCCAGGGUGAAGUCCAGGUAACACUGGAUGGAGGCCCGAACCCACGCACGUUGAAAAGUGCGGGGAUGAGGUGUGGGUAGCGGAGAAAUUCCAAUCGAACCUGGAGAUAGCUGGUUCUCUCCGAAAUAGCUUUAGGGCUAGCCUCAUGUAGUAAGAGUCUUGGAGGUAGAGCACUGUUUGGACUAGGGGCCCUCAUCGGGUUACCGAAUUCAGACAAACUCCGAAUGCCAAAGACUUAUCCAUGGGAGUCAGACUGCGAGUGAUAAGAUCCGUAGUCGAAAGGGAAACAGCCCAGACCACCAGCUAAGGUCCCAAAGUAUACGUUAAGUGGAAAAGGAUGUGGAGUUGCUUAGACAACCAGGAUGUUGGCUUAGAAGCAGCCACCAUUUAAAGAGUGCGUAAUAGCUCACUGGUCGAGUGACUCUGCGCCGAAAAUGUACCGGGGCUAAACGUAUCACCGAAGCUGUGGGUGGACACCGUAGGUGUCCGCGGUAGGAGAGCGUUCUAAGGGCGUUGAAGCGGGACCGGGAGGACUCGUGGAGCGCUUAGAAGUGAGAAUGCCGGUAUGAGUAGCGAAAGAUGGGUGAGAAUCCCAUCCACCGAAUGCCUAAGGUUUCCUGAGGAAGGCUCGUCCGCUCAGGGUUAGUCGGGACCUAAGCCGAGGCCGAAAGGCGUAGGCGAUGGACAACAGGUUGAUAUUCCUGUACCACCUCUUUUCCGUUUGAGCAAUGGGGGGACGCAGGAGGAUAGGGCAAGCGCACUGCUGGUUAUGUGCGUCCAAGCAGUUAGGCUGGUCACGAGGCAAAUCCCGUGAUCGCAAGGCUGAGCUGUGAUGGCGAGGGAAAUAUAGUACCGAAGUUCCUGAUUCCACACUGCCAAGAAAAGCCUCUAGCGAGGAAAAAGGUGCCCGUACCGCAAACCGACACAGGUAGGCGAGGAGAGAAUCCUAAGGUGAGCGAGAGAACUCUCGUUAAGGAACUCGGCAAAAUGACCCCGUAACUUCGGGAGAAGGGGUGCUCAUUUGGGUGAAUAGCCCGGAUGAGCCGCAGUGAAUAGGCCCAGGCGACUGUUUAGCAAAAACACAGGUCUCUGCGAAGCCGCAAGGCGAAGUAUAGGGGCUGACGCCUGCCCGGUGCUGGAAGGUUAAGAGGAGGGGUUAGCGCAAGCGAAGCUCUGAAUCGAAGCCCCAGUAAACGGCGGCCGUAACUAUAACGGUCCUAAGGUAGCGAAAUUCCUUGUCGGGUAAGUUCCGACCCGCACGAAAGGCGUAACGAUCUGGGCACUGUCUCAACGAGAGACUCGGUGAAAUUAUAGUACCUGUGAAGAUGCAGGUUACCCGCGACAGGACGGAAAGACCCCGUGGAGCUUUACUGUAGCCUGAUAUUGAAUUUUGGUACAGCUUGUACAGGAUAGGUAGGAGCCUGAGAUGCCGGAGCGCCAGCU